rnacentral:rRNA from 1 species
AACGACUCUCGGCAACGGAUAUCUCGGCUCUUGCAUCGAUGAAGAACGUAGCGAAAUGCGAUACUUGGUGUGAAUUGCAGAAUCCCGCGAACCAGCGAAUUGCGAUACUUGUUGUGAAUUGCAGAAUCCCGCGAACCAUCAAUUCUUUGAACGCAAGUUGCGCCCGAAGCCAUCAGGCCGAGGGCACGCCUGCCUGGGUGUCGUGA